AUUGAACGCUGGCGGCAUGCCUUACACAUGCAAGUCGAACGGCAGCACGGGUGCUUGCACCUGGUGGCGAGUGGCGAACGGGUGAGUAGUAUAUCGGAACGUACCUUAUUGUGGGGGAUAACGCAGCGAAAGCUGUGCUAAUACCGCAUAAUCCCUAAGGGGGAGAGCGGGGGACCGUAAGGCCUCGCGCAAUUAGAGCGGCCGAUACCUGAUUAGCUAGUUGGUGAGGUAAAGGCUCACCAAGGCAACGAUCAGUAGCUGGUCUGAGAGGACGAUCAGCCACACUGGGACUGAGACACGGCCCAGACUCCUACGGGAGGCAGCAGUGGGGAAUUUUGGACAAUGGGGGCAACCCUGAUCCAGCAAUGCCGCGUGAGUGAAGAAGGCCUCCGGGUUGUAAAGCUCUUUUGUCAGGGAAGAAACAGCAGCUCUAACACAGUUUGCGAAUGACGGUACCUGAAGAAUAAGCACCGGCUAACUACGUGCCAGCAGCCGCCGUAA
rnacentral:rRNA from 1 species